GACAGAGGGUGCAAACGUUGCUCGGAAUUACUGGGCGUAAAGCGCGUGUAGGCUGACCGGAAAGUCGGGCGUGAAAUCCCUGGGCUCAACCCAGGAACUGCACUCGAAACUCCCGGUCUGAGUGGUGGAGAGGGAAGUGGAAUUCAUGGUGUAGCAGUGAAAUGCGUAGAGAUCAUGAGGAAGACCAGUGGCGAAGGCGGGUCUCUGGACAGUUCCUGACACUGAGACACGAAGGCCAGGGGAGCAAACGGG
rnacentral:rRNA from 1 species